AUACGUAGGUGACAAGCGUUAUCCGGAUUUACUGGGCGUAAAGGGCGUGUAGGCGGUCUUGCAAGUCAGAAGUGAAAUUCCUGAGCUCAACUCGGGCGCUGCUUCCGAAACUGCAGGACUUGAGUGCUGGAGGGGAUAGCGGAAUUCCUAGUGGAGCGGUAAAAUGCGCAGAUAUUAGGAAGAACACCGGUGGCGAAGGCGGCUAUCUGGACAGUAACUGACGCUGAGGCGCGAAAGCGUGGGGAGCAAACAGGAUUAGAUACCCUGGUAGUCCACACUGUAAACGAUGAAUGCUAGGUGUAAGAGGUAUCGACCCCUUUUGUGCCGGAGUUAACACAAUAAGCAUUCCGCCUGGGGAGUACGGCCGCAAGGUUGAAACUCAAAUGAAUUGACGGGG
rnacentral:rRNA from 1 species